GUGGGUAUCGGUUAAUGGUAAGCUUCGUGCCUUGGGAGCAUGAGAUGCAAGUUCGAUUCUUGCUACCCGCACCA
rnacentral:tRNA from 1 species